rnacentral:rRNA from 1 species
UACGUAGGGGGCAAGCGUUGUCCGGAUUUAUUGGGCGUAAAGAGCGUGUAGGCGGCCAGGUAGGUCCGUUGUGAAAACUCGAGGCUUAACCUCGAGACGUCGAUGGAAACCAUCUGGCUAGAGUCCGGAAGAGGAGAGUGGAAUUCCUGGUGUAGCGGUGAAAUGCGUAGAUAUCUGGAGGAACACCGGUGGCGAAGGCGGCAUCCUGGACCAAUAUUGACGCUGAGGAGCGAAAGCCAGGGGAGCAAACGGG